rnacentral:lncRNA from 1 species
CCCCCUACAUCCGUUCAACCUUACUUAAUGAUCCUACUCAAACCCAUCAAAUUUAAAAGCGAUGAUCUACUGGAGUAUUAUACCAUCAAAUACAUUCAUGAUCCCAUUUUUAAAGAAAGCAUUCAUCAAACAAAACUAAACAAGGUUUGAAAUCUUGACCUAAACACCAAUAUUUAAACAAGAAUCUAACAAAUAAUGCUAAUUUUUAGAAAAGAACAUUGACCUUAGUGACUCAUCAACAAAGAAAGGAGCAAGUAGGAUACUUACUACCUAUAAAUUAUUAACAGAUGCACGAGAAUUGAGGAGAUACUAUUGUUAUAUAUAAGUUAUGACAACUCUGAUCAACAAAUAAACUAGCAAAGCAUUUACAAAACAGAAAUGCACAAUGAUAUACAAGGAAAUAAUCCAAAUUAAAACAUGAGACAAUGGAUUUAUGAAGUGUUGGGAUUGAGUCAGACAUCACA